rfam:Astyanax mexicanus Tnplaced_Scaffold_166, whole genome shotgun sequence.
UUAAUGGUUUCAUUUGAAACCAUUUCAUUUAAAAAUUAGAUUUGUUG